AUUGAACGCUGGCGGAAUGCUUUACACAUGCAAGUCGAACGGCAGCACGGGUGCUUGCACCUGGUGGCGAGUGGCGAACGGGUGAGUAAUAUAUCGGAACGUAUCCAAUAAUGGGGGAUAACUAAUCGAAAGGUUGGCUAAUACCGCAUACGCCCUACGGGGGAAAGCAGGGGAUCUUCGGACCUUGCGUUAAUGGAGCGGCCGAUAUCUGAGUAGCUAGUUGGUGAGGUAAAGGCUAACCAAGGCGACGAUCAGUAGCUGGUCUGAGAGGACGACCAGCCACACUGGAACUGAGACACGGUCCAGACUCCUACGGGAGGCAGCAGUGGGGAAUUUUGGACAAUGGGCGCAAGCCUGAUCCAGCCAUGCCGCAUGAGUGAAGAAGGCCUUCGGGUUGUAAAGCUCUUUCGCAAGGGAAGAAACGAUACAGAAUAAUACUCUGUGUUAAUGACGGUACCUUGGUAAGAAGCACCGGCUAACUACGUGCCAGCCGCCGCAGUAA
rnacentral:rRNA from 1 species